rnacentral:rRNA from 1 species
AGUCGACUAGCAUGCGAGUCGAAUGUAGCAAUACAUGGCGUACUGCUCAGUAACACGUGGACAACCUACCCUCCGGACGGAUAUAAACCCGGGAAACUGGGUAUAAUCCCCGAUAGAUCUCGGCCGCUGGAAUGCCCCGAGAUCGAAAGCUCCGGCGCCAGAGGAUGGGUCUGCGGCCUAUCAGGUAGUAGUGGGUGUAGCGUACCUACUAGCCUACGACGGGUACGGGUUGUGAGAGCAAGAGCCCGGAGAUGGAUUCUGAGACACGAAUCCAGGCCCUACGGGGUGCAGCAGGCGCGAAAACUUAACAAUGCCGGCAACGGCGAUAAGGGGACCUCGAGUGCCAGGUUACAAAUCUGGCUGUCGUGAUGCCUAAAAAGCAUUGCAUAGC